rnacentral:rRNA from 1 species
AAAACACUGACGAACGCUGGCGGCGUGCCUAACACAUGCAAGUCGAACGGACCGAUUUUCCGGAACCUUCGGGGGAAGGGAAAGAAGGUUAGUGGCGGACGGGUGAGUAACACGUGGGCAAUCUGCCCUUUAGACUGGGAUAACACCGGGAAACCGGUGCUAAUACCGGAUGAGAUCUUUUGGUGGCAUCACCGGAAGAUGAAAGGAGGCCUCUCGAAGAAGCUCCCGCUAAAGGAUGAGCCCGCGGCCCAUUAGCUGGUUGGUAGGGUAAUGGCCUACCAAGGCGACGAUGGGUAGCCGGCCUGAGAGGGUGAACGGCCACACUGGGACUGAGACACGGCCCAG